UACGGAAGGCAGCAGUGGGGAAUAUUGCACAAUGGGCGCAAGCCUGAUGCAGCCAUGCCGCGUGUAUGAAAAGGCCUUCGGGUUGUAAAGUACUUUCAGUCGUGAGGAGGUGUUAAGGUUAAUAACCUUAGCAAUUGACGUUAGCGACAGAAGAAGCACCGGCUAACUCCGUGCCAGCAGCCGCGGUAAUACGGAGGGUGCGAGCGUUAAUCGGAAUUACUGGGCGUAAAGGGCACGCAGGCGGUUAAUUAAGUUGGAUGUGAAAUCCCCGGGCUUAACCUGGGAAUGGCAUUCAAGACUGGUUAGCUAGAGUCUUGUAGAGGGGGUAGAAUUCCAUGUGUAGCGGUGAAAUGCGUAGAGAUGUGGAGGAAUACCGGUGGCGAAGGCGGCCCCUGGACAAAGACUGACGCUCAUGUGCGAAAGCGUGGGGAGCAAACAGGGAUUAGAUACC
rnacentral:rRNA from 1 species